rnacentral:rRNA from 1 species
GACGAGGGGGGCUAGCGUUGUUCGGAAUUACUGGGCGUAAAGCGAGUGUAGGUGGUUGUCCAAGUUGGAUGUGAAAGCCUUGAGCUCAACUCAAGAAAUGCAUUCAGGACUGGGCGGCUAGAGGACCGGAGAGGAUAGUGGAAUUCCCAGUGUAGUGGUGAAAUACGUAGAGAUUGGGAAGAACACCAGUGGCGAAGGCGGCUAUCUGGACGGUUUCUGACACUAAGACUCGAAAGCGUGGGGAGCAAACAGG